CCACACAGACCCAGCAAGAUGAUGAAAGGAGGCCCUCUCUCCCCACUCUCCUGGAGGAGAGAGUUGAGGCCCAGUGAGACUGCUCUUGGAUGAAAUUCAAAGGGCCUGCCCAUCAGCCAGAGGACUCUGAAGACUCAGAGGAGGUUAUCCAGAACUCUGGGAUUCUCUUGCUCUCCAUUGCAACUGUGACUUCUAAGCACAAGCUGAACAUCCCCAGUGUGAAAAUCAGAAAUGCUCCAAAAUCCAGAACUCUGCAAGUACCACCAUGAUGCCACACCUGACCUCCUGAGUUCAAAACACAAGGGCACUAAGAAUAUCUUAUGCAUAAGGCACCUAGGAAACAGAAGCAUGGGGUGCCUCUCCAGAGGGCAGGCAGGAAAAACACCUUCCGGUCAAAACAGAGAAGAUUGCCAGAAAUCUGAGGGUGUGCCAGAUACACCCGGACAAAACCAGGCAGGCCUUGGAUACACGCCCCCUCUGUCCUGCAGACAUCGUGUCCUGUGCGUGGGGCAGUGUGGCCAGGCUGGGGCUGUCAGCUCAGAGAGUCCUGCAACAUGACAGCUACAAGGACCCCGCCCAUCUGUUUUCCACAAGGCCAUUUCCCUGUGGCCUGCCAGGCAGGGCUGGCCAGACUUUCUGCUUCUCGGCAGUGAAAACAAUGUGUUUAUAGCCUAGCACAUGAAAAAAACGAAAGAGCCACGUUUUCAGAUCUCACCUCAGGCUCUCUUGUCCUAACCCUCACCUGCGGUAGGAUUUGGAGGGAAUCGUCCACCUCUGUGAAUCUGUUGCCCCAGCAACAGCAAACAAGGACUGACCGUACCCAGGGCACUGUGCAGGCUGGGGAUGAAUUAUCCAAUAGGAUGAGGAAGAACAGCAGCCUUAGAGGACUCGGAAACAAGACUCCAAGCCAAGCUCAUGUACCGCCUUCGGUGAGGUUUCUGCUCACGAGUCACCUUGCACACUCUGGCUCUCCCCAUGUCUUCAGUCAAAUUAGUGUCAUCUCAGGAGGACACCUGUGCCUCCCUGUCUGCCCUCAGGAGGAGGCUGAGAUCUCAGGGUGUCAGGCUAGUGUGACAGGUGGUAUUCCUAUGAGAGUCAUGCAUAGGUGUGGCUAGCCAUUGUGAACUGUCCUCUUUAUGUACAUAUAUAUCCUAUGUUGACCUUGGCCAGGCCACUUCUCUGGGUUGUUAAACCAGAAAACUGGACCAGAUGACCUGAGGUCGCUCCCAGCUCAAAAAUGUCACAAUUUCAUGAUUUGGAAGGGUAAUUAAGCCAGAACUUUAAGACAUUCUGUGUUUUAUUUUGAGAUUCCCAGCUUUGCCAUUGCCAGGACGAAUGGAGAGGGAAAUUUGUGUCCCCGAAAUAAAGGGAACUCGUGUCACA